UGGAAAGUUCCAAUAACAAGCCAUGUUUGCUAUCGAAGGACAAACCUAAAUAAGAAUGGAGAAGCUCAUAACCAAUAAGAUAAAUCAAGGCUGAACGAUGAACUAUGUACAAUACUAAAAAUUGAAGAUUCACCAAAAGAGAAUGAAAGAAACACUGGAUUGAAAAUCAGGAGAUACCAUAUGACUUCCACAUGCUGAGAGUGUUUUAGGCUGUAACCUGCAAUGAAGAUUUUACAAUGUUCGAGCAAUCCAAUAACCAGUGCUUAAAAUGCAACAGUAAACACUUUACUCAGAUAAGACUGGAUUACAAAUCAAGAUUUCAACUCAAAUACUGCACAGGAAUAGGAAAGUCAGUGGGUUUUUCCCCUAAAAUAUAUUGUUCUCAUUUCAAAAGAAACAUCCAAGCAGUAAAUCAAUAAAUGUUAAUUGAAAAACUGGGCAAUAGGAAGUAAAUGGGUUAAGAGUUGUUGCUUGAUAUUUAUCUUUUCACUUACAUUUUGCUUCUGCAUUCUAAAUAAUUUAUUUCUCUGACACUGAAGUUUCUAGAUACUUUAGAUUCUACAAUUAUAUAACACCUUUUCUCAAAAGAGCUUAGCUUCAUUUUUAAAAUUAUUCUAAUUAAUAUUUCUAAGAUACAAGCAAAUAAUUUUAGAAAUCUAAGUAUCUAACAACUGCAAUGAUGGUCUUCAAGGAGAUCAAAACAAUAUUAUAAAGUUCAAAUUCAGAAAACACAUUAACUGUUUCUAUGUAGGUCAACCUAAAUAUACACUUGUUAUCUCUCACAUUUCCAAUUACCAGCCAGUUUAUUGGUGUGAAUGACCAAUUCCAGAGAGUCUGAUUUCCAUAUCAAAGGUAACAGAACAUAUGUACAGUAGCUAUGUGAAUUCGGGUUUUUACUGCUUCCAAGAUUCCACGACGACAGCUAACAAUGAGUAUCAAGAACUAGCAGAUUUAGGAUAAAUGUAUUCGAAUACCUUAAUUUUCUAAACACCGGAAAAAAUCAUAUCAACUCCUCUGCUCGAAAGUCUCUCUCAUAGGAAAACAAGCAAACUGUUCCCAUAAG